GGCUUUCGGCAAAGUCGAUUUCGGGAAGUUGCUUUGCAUUUAAUCAAACGAGAAUAGCUCGGCAAAUUGAGGUGGCGAACAUCGAAACCUGCCACAUACAUUCCCUGACUGCACCCAAGUUCGUAUUUCUGGUCUGCAUGAAUAAAGUGAGGUCUUCAUUGGUUGGGGGUCGACCAUGUAUGUUUUGUCCUAGCUGUCUACAAAUACACAAGCCAGGGCAAUACGAUACAGAGAGCAAGCUUUUGCUCAUGAAGUAGGCUCCCCCCUGUCCAGGUAGCUGAUGGAACAGCAGAAGCCGCUACAGUUGUAAAUGAUGAUUUCAAUACCCACUGCAGAUGCUUGAAGUCCAAAAUAAAAUGGGAAUAUCCAUUUCUGACGAAAGGUCUUCGACCUGGCUCGUUACUGCCGUUUCUCUCACCAAAGAAGCAACCUUACGUACGACAAACAACAGGAAUUCUGCAGAUGCUGGAAAUUCAAGCAACACACAUCAAAGUUGCUGGUGAACGCAGCAGGCCAGGCAGCAUCUAUAGGAAGAGGCGCAGUCGACGUUUCAGGCCGAGACCCUUCGUCAGGACUAACUGAAAGAAGAAGUGAAGCAGGAUGGCAGUAAAGAUGAAGCAAACAUUGACUUACCGAGAGACCGCUUUGGAUACUUUGAUGAGUAUGGAAUCAAACCAAUCAUUCCCCGGCUGAGCAAGCAAAUAAAGAAAGCACCGUUGUCAUUCUUGCAGAAAGCAGGACGAAGCAAGAGGGACGACCCAGACAUGGAGGACUAUUAUAAUUAUCUUGGAUAACUACUUGUAUCAGAAUAUUUAUACUUUAUUUUCUAGCUGUGAAUGAAACAUGAAGUUUGGGAACUGUGUAGAUGUGAAACCAAAGUGCGUGUAUUUUGUUUUGGACA